UACAGAGGUCCCAAGCGUUGUUCGGAUUCAUUGGGCGUAAAGCGCGUGUAGGCGGCUUUGCAAGUCGGGUGUGAAAGCCCUCAGCUCAACUGAGGAAGUGCGCCCGAAACUGCAGAGCUUGAGUACCGGAGAGGAUGGCGGAAUUCCCCAAGUAGAGGUGAAAUUCGUAGAUAUGGGGAGGAACACCGGUGGCGAAGGCGGCCAUCUGGACGGAUACUGACGCUGAGACGCGAAAGCGUGGGUAGCAAACAGG
rnacentral:rRNA from 1 species